UGAAAAAAGAAAGUAUAUAAUAUAAAAAAUAAUUAUUUUAUAGAAAAAAUUAUUUGAUAGAGAUAGUAAAUUUUUUAUGAAAUCUAAGUAAUAUUAUAUAAAUAAUGUUCUGUAAAGAAAGUUUAUGAAUUCUUUCUAUAGUAAAAAUUAAUAUUUGUACCUUUUGUAUCAUGGUUUUUUAAGAAUAAAUUUGAUAAUAAUUAAAUUACCCGAAAUGUAGUGAGUUAUUUUAGUAUAAGUAAUUAGUGUUGUAAAAUUAAUGAAAAAUAUUAAAAUAGGGGUGAUAUGUUUAUCGAACUAUGUGAUAGCUGGUUGUUUAGGAAAAUUAUUUAAGUAAUGAAUUAAAUUUAUUUAAAGUAAUAAAAUAUAUUUUAAAUUAGGUUUAAUAUUUAGAUUUAAGAGGAUUAGCUCUUUUAUAAUUUAUAAAAUUUAUUGAGAAAUUUUUAUUUAAAUAGGCUUAAAAUUAGUCAUUUUAUUAAGUUUGUUAAAAAAUAUUAUUAAAUUAUUUAAUAAUUAUUAUAUGUAAUUUUUAGAUUUAUAAUACUAAAUAAAUUAAUUAAGUUAUGUUUAUUAGUUUUAUUAUGGAAAAAUGAGUAUUUAGAAAAUGAAUUUUAUUAUGAAUUUUAUGUAUAUAAAGAAAUAUUUAAUUUAGAUAUGUGGAGAAUAAAUAAAUUUUUAGAAAGGAACUUGGCAAAACUAGCUUCGCCUGUUUAUCAAAAACAUGGCUCUUUGCAAAAAAUAAUUGUUGAAUAAAGAGUCUGACCUGCCCAGUGAUUUAUUUAACGGCCGCGGUACUCUGACCGUGCAAAGGUAGCAUAAUCAUUCGCUUUUUAAUUGAAGGCUUGUAUGAAUGGUUUGACGAGAGCUAAACUGUCUUUUUAAGAAUUAUUAGAAAUUAAUUUUUAGGUGAAAAGGCCUAAAUUAAACUAUAGGACGAGAAGACCCCUUUGAGCUUUAAUGAAAUUUUAAAAUAAUUAUUAUCAUAAAAUGAUUUGAAUAAUUUUAUUUUUUAUUAAUUUUUAGUCGGGGAAAACAGAGGAAUAAAAGAAGCUUCCUCUAUUUAUUAAUAAAAAUUUAUAUUGACAAAUAUUAAAUAAGAUCCAUAAAAUGUGAUUAGAGGAUUAAGUUACCAUGGGGAUAACAGCGUAAUAUCUUCUAGAGAGUUCUUAUUGAAAGAAGGGUUUGCGACCUCGAUGUUGGACUAGGACAUCCUAAAGGUGCAGUAAUUUUUAAGGGUUGGUCUGUUCGACCAUUAAAGUCCUACAUGAUCUGAGUUCAGACCGGCGUGAGCCAGGUUGGUUUCUAUCUUUAGUAAAAAAUUUUUCUUACUAGUACGAAAGGAUUGUUUUGAAGAAAUAAGUAAUAUUUUUUAGAUGAUUUAUAUUAAUUCUUUUGUAAGUUAGGGAGAUU
rnacentral:rRNA from 1 species